rnacentral:pre_miRNA from 1 species
UUUGUACUCCCUCCAUCCCAAAAUUCUUGUCUUAAAUUUGUCUAAAUACGGAUGUAUCUAGUUACAUUUUAGUGUUAGAUACAUCCGUAUCUAAACAAAUGUAAGACAAGAAUUUUGAGACGGAGGGAAUACUAC